rnacentral:tRNA from 1 species
AGUAAAAUGCCUGAAUAAAGGGUUAUCUUGAUAGGAUAAAUAAUGUAUUUUCUACUUUUACUA